GGACAUAUGUGGCAUUGCAUUAGUCUGAUCCCCACUGGGCACAAACGCCCACCUGUCCUGUGAGCACGGCAGAAGAGGACGAACAGGCUGGAAGCAGAUCCAGGUGUUCAGCUCUGGUCUGGUUCUGUGACAUGCUGUCAGAGCCUGGAGGCAUUUUGCUGUAGACUUCCUGCUUGCGUUUAGACAAGUCUCAUAUUGCAUGUGGAAUACCUCUGGUACACGGAGGCGUUCAUGGUCGACUCAGUGACUGGUUUCUGUGGUUGACGUCACUGCACCACCAUUACCGUGCUUGCCUAUUGAAAUCCUGUGGUUCACCCUGAUGCAACUUUAGGAGCCCAGUAUUCUUUCUACACAGAAGAGAUGCUCUCCUGGGAACCCUUUUGAACAACAUAUUGCAUCAUUGCCUUUCCCUCCUUGUCAAGAGCUGCAAUAUGAAACAUGCCAAUUGACCUCUGUGGCGUCUAACGAGCAGUUUUGUUUGAAUUUGCUGCAGCAUCUGCCUAGCUGCUACUUUGCAACUUAAGUUUUAGGGAGGCAAGUGCGGAUUCAGUUCCUGACAUCAGAUUUUCCACUGUUGCUUCAUUUUUUUUUUUUUGCCAACUAGAAAAUAAUGUAAAAAUAUGUGUUUUUGUACACUUGCGGUUAGAUUUAUAUGAGCGUUAAACCUGGUGAAGACCAGAUAAUUGCUCUUACACCUUCAACUGGAGGAGAGUAAACUCAUUCAUUCCCAUGACUGCACUGAAGGUGAAAAACAUAAAUUUUUUCCGGAACAAAAUUUAAAACACACUGUAGUUGUUAACGUUGCAGACUUUUCCAAUAUGCUUGUAGGUAAGAGUCGAGACAGAGAUCCCCCAUCCCUGCAGUAAACCUCUGUGAUUUGCAGCAUCAGUGCAUCAAUAGAGCACUAAAGCUGUUCUGGGAUUGCGCUGCCUCGCACUAAAUACACCUUAAAACUAUGUUUUUGUACUUUUUGAAAUGAAAGUAUUAAUGGCUUCUUUUAGGAGAGAUGCUCUGUCCUACGUAGGGACUGUUUCACGGCAAGAUGUGGCAGAAACUCUGCGAACUGUAGGUUUUAGCCUCAAACGAAGGGAGCAGAUUGUGAAGCUUUGGGUUAGUCACUGGCCACUUUAUUAGGCAUGCCUAUUACAUUGCUGCUUAGUGGAGACAGUGAGUUAGUAAAUCACAUGGUGCAAUUCAGUGCGUUAAGGCAUCCAGACUUGGAGAAAGCAAGCUUUAGAAUGGAGAGGAAAGGAGACUUAAGCGACUUUGAAAAGUGUGUCGUCAAUAGUCAGACUGGUGUGAGCAUUUCAGAAACUGAUACUGAGAUUUUUAUGCACAUCUGGUUAUCUGGUGUACGGAGAAUGUUCUGAAGAUGAGAAAAUCUCCAGUGAGAGGCCGUUUGUGUGACUGAAAAUACCUCAUUGAUGUCAGAAGACAACGGACCGGAUGGUUCGAGACGAUACUGGAACCUCAAUACCAAUGUGUUUCUUUUCCUGUAAAGCAAAACAGUAGACAAAGUAAAAUCUCUAAAACUGUUGAUGUGCUUUUAAUCAAGUAUUGAUUACCUUGGUUUUAUUUGGUGCCGCUAAUUGGCAGAACUUGCAGCGUAGAGAAAGCCCCUGGUAUGCGUAGUUAAAUUUCUGUUUCUGGUAAUCCCUCAGGGAAUCGGCAGCGGUGAUGCGAUCAUUUCGAUGUGAACCCUGUUUCUGACACUUUGGUGAAUGGAAAGGAAUAAUGCAGUCCUAAAGGAAAAAGAUGUUUCAACUCCAGACAACCAACAUGAACCUAGUAAAGAGGUCAGU